AACAAGGCGUACCUGCGGACCUGCGGAAGGAUCAUUACCGAGUUUACAACUCCCAAACCCAAUGUGAACGUUACCAAACUGUUGCCUCGGCGGGAUCUCUGCCCCGGGUGCGUCGCAGCCCCGGACCAAGGCGCCCGCCGGAGGACCAACCAAAACUCUUAUUGUAUACCCCCUCGCGGGUUUUUUACUAUCUGAGCCAUCUCGGCGCCCCUCGUGGGCGUUUCGAAAAUGAAUCAAAAC
rnacentral:misc_RNA from 1 species